AAUCCCUACGAUGACUUUUUAUGAGUAAAAAAUGUUAAAAGUAGUCUGAUCUUAUUGAUGAAACUUUCAGCUCUGAGGGAUU
rfam:Eutrema salsugineum unplaced genomic scaffold scaffold_1, whole genome shotgun sequence.